GUAGGUGCUGUGUUGCAGGUGGUGCCCUCGGCCUUGGCACAGAUCUUGUGGCUCUGGGUGCUUGGGGCUCUCACCGCUGCCCUGGGAGAGACGAGGCUCAUCUACUUUGGCUCAAGAGAGUCAAGCGUACUGGUCUCCAUAUGCAAGAUGGAAAGCAUGUAGUAAUCUCACGUGCUACAACAACCCUAUGAAGUAAAGGUUUCAAGAGACCUGUGAACAGCUGUUAAGUGUAGGCGUGGUUGUCCUGCUCAACAACAACAAAAAACCCACGUUAUUAUUAUUUAAAAGAAGGCUGUCAAGCUUAUUCCGGUGUAAUCAGCCUAUUCUUUCUUCACAUGAAAUAAAAAGUGGAGCAGCUUUUAUAUUUAUGCACUUA